UUCCCCAGAGGCACAUCCGGCGGUCGCUCCUCCGGAGGAACCGGUAUUACAGAUUCCCGAAGAAGUGAUAUGAUAGAGGGGAAUAAAAAAAAGUAUUAAUAAUAAUAAGAAUAAAAAGACUUUACCCCCGUUCCUUCACACUGGAUUCUUUGCGACCGAAACUGGGACCCCGAAUGCAUGUCAAGCUCGACAACUACAGUCAUCGGAGAAGUGCCCUUCGUCUCGUGAAGUGUUCCGAUUU
rnacentral:lncRNA from 1 species